CGCAUCUGUGCAUGCAGCAUAUCAAUAAGCGGAGGAAAAGAAACUAACAAGGAUUCCCCUAGUAACGGCGAGUGAAGCGGGAAGAGCUCAAAUUUGAAAUCUUAAAGGGUUUCCCUUUACGAAUUGUAGUUUAAAGAAGUGUUUUCUGUUGAGGUUUUGGUAAAAGUUCUUUGGAAUAGGACAUCAUAGAGGGUGAGAAUCCCGUAUUUGACCUUUACUUUCAACUUUGUGAUACACUUUCAAAGAGUCGGAUUGUUUGGGAAUGCAGUCCAAAAUGGGUGGUAAAUUUCAUCUAAAGCUAAAUAUUGGCGAGAGACCGAUAGCGAACAAGUACCGUGAGGGAAAGAUGAAAAGAACUUUGAAAAGAGAGUUAAACAGUACGUGAAAUUGUCAAAAGGGAAGCGUUUGACACCAGUGUUGUUUUUCUGAAAAUCAAUUAAAGAACUGUUUAUGCUAAGCUGUUUAGACUUUAUCAGCUAAUCUGUUUAGUUUUGAGCUUUUCUUUAAUGCACUUUUCAGUUAACAAGUCAACAUCAAUUUCUUUUGCUGUAAAAAAGCUUGAGGAAGGUGGCUUGAGAUUCGUCUUAAGUGUUUAUAGCCUCUUGCCUAUGCAGUCGGAGAGAUUGAGGUCUGCAGCGUAGAUCCUUCGGGGCUAAAUGCAUUUGUGCUAAGUUAUAGCAUUUUAUAGACAACUUGUUGACUAUGAUUUGUCUUGUAGCUUACUCGCUUAUGUUAUUUUACCUACGCUUAGGAUGUUGAGUCAUCACACAUCUCU
rnacentral:rRNA from 1 species